AGGGCUCGUCCUACGGAGCGCGAGGAGGCCCAGCGCGCUCCUGCGCCGCCUGCUUGGCUCCCGCGGCGCUCGAGCUCCGCAGUCAGUGUCAACCUAGGUCAGCAGCGCUGCGCUGUGACUUUCUGUCGCCCCUGCCAACUGGGCCUUCCUGCGCCGCAUGCCCUCCCUUCUCGUUUCAGUCACUCUAAAGGUCGUUUUGGAGGCGAUCCUGGUUUGUUGGGAAACGAAAAGCCAGCACCUUUUCGAUCGUCCCCUAAAUUCGUAAUCCCGCGCGAAUCAGGAUUCAGGAGGUGCAUUUAAUACGCCCACGGUGUGCCCGACCCAGGACCGGAAUGUAGUGGUGAGAACCGAGCCUUGGAGAAAUCCCGCCUGAUUUUGGCCUGCAGGACGGGCGGAGCUAGAGGGGGCAUCCCAGAGCCCUGGAACCCGGCUUCAACCAGGGGCAGGCAACAUUUUGAAUUUUGCACAUGUCAGCCAAACCCCUACUACCUCCAUUUCAAAAUGCAAAUAUAUGGAAUACGGCUGCGUAUCAUCAGUCUCUUUUUCUUAACUUCCUCUCCUGGCAAGUCUCCAAGCCAUCAGCAUUCAGGCAUCUGAUCGGCGCCCGGACGGUUCACUAUGGAUACGUAGUGAACAGAUAAUGUGAGAAGAGAGAGCGGGGGG